AUGGGGCCCAUACGCUUCAUUCUACUUACUCUGCUUCUCUGUUCGAGCCAAUGUCUGGGUCAGGAAGCUCCCCCUGCUGUUACCCUGGUGAAUGUGAAAACCCGCAAUGAGACUCACAUAGAGCUAGAGUGGACCAAAGUCAACAACAUCAACACUUACGCACUGAAAUCGAGCGAUGAACCAGAAACCCCCAUCACUGGAUUAGACGGGAACACAGUGACACACACUGUGUCAUCUCUCUCUGCUGGAACAAAAUACUCGUUCACUCUCUUCACGGUGUUAGAGGAACUGAGAAGCACAGGAUUUGAGUUCCCAGCAGUUACAGCUCCCCCUGCUGUUACCCUGGUGAUUGUGAAAACCCGCUCUGAGACUGAUAUAGAGCUAGAGUGGACCAAAGUCAGCGACAUCAACCCUUAUACUUACAUAUUGAAACGGACCGGUGGAACAGAUACCCCCAUCCCUGGACCAGCUGGGAACAAAGUGACUCACACAGUGUCAUCUCUCUCUGCUGGAACAGAAUACUCGUUCACUCUCUUCACAGUGUUUGAGGACGCGAGAAGCACAGGACAUGACUUCUCAGAAGUUACAGGUAUGUUCCCUAUGUUCACUAAACCCUUUAAUGAUCUCGCUAAGGGAAAAAGAACAGGAAGGGAAAAACAGAUCAAAAUCAUUUUGUGUUAUGGUCCUGACAUUAGUGUGUCAUAGUUAGAAAUAGCCACACGUAUUGACUGGGCAAUCUUUCUAGCUGGUUUUCUGCAUAUAUGUGAACAGGCAAAAACCAGCCUGUAACUAACACCAUGUCUUAAUUUCAAAGACUGAAGAGGCUGUGACCACUUAAAGCUCCAUUAUGUAGGAACAGCUAAUUUUUUUCCACUCUGAUGACCCCAAGAGUUGCGGUCUGUAAUUAAUGGACAGUUGUUCACAGCAGCUAGGAAUAAUAAUAAAAAUAAUAAUAAUACACUUUUUUUGUAUAGC
rnacentral:lncRNA from 1 species